UACGAAGGGGGCUAGCGUUGUUCGGAAUUACUGGGCGUAAAGGGCGCGUAGGCGGUGUGUCAAGUCAGGCGUGAAAGCCCCGGGCUCAACCUGGGAACUGCAUCUGUGACUGCAUAGCUAGAGUACGGUAGAGGGGGAUGGAAUUCCGCGUGUAGCAGUGAAAUGCGUAGAUAUGCGGAGGAACACCGAUGGCGAAGGCAAUCCCCUGGACCUGUACUGACGCUCAUGCACGAAAGCGUGGGGAGCAAACGAGG
rnacentral:rRNA from 1 species